rnacentral:rRNA from 1 species
GGCAGUCAGAGGCGAUGAAAGACGUAGUAACUUGCGAUAAGCCCAGAUUAGGUAGUAACAACCAUUUGAGUCUGGGAUUUCUGAAUGGGGAAACCCACGUGCAUAAGCACGUAUCCUUACCUGAAUACAUAGGGUAAGGAGGCGAACCGGGGGAACUGAAACAUCUAAGUACCCCGAGGAAAAGAAAUCAACCGAGAUUCCGAAAGUAGCGGCGAGCGA